UACGUAGGUCUCAAGCGUUGUUCGGAUUCAUUGGGCGUAAAGGGUGUGUAGGUGGCGCGCUAAGUCGGGUGUGAAAUUUCGGAGCUUAACUCCGAAACUGCAUUCGAUACUGGCGUGCUUGAGGACUGGAGAGGAGACUGGAAUUCAUGGUGUAGCAGUGAAAUGCGUAGAGAUCAUGAGGAAGACCAGUGGCGAAGGCGGGUCUCUGGACAGUUCCUGACACUGAGGUGCGAAAGCGUGGGGAGCAAACAGG
rnacentral:rRNA from 1 species